rnacentral:tRNA from 1 species
GGCCCAUUCGUCUAGUGGACUAGGACGCCGGCCUCUCAAGCCGGAAACAGGGGUUCGAACCCCCUAUGGGCCACCA